UACGUAGGGUGCGAGCGUUACUCGGAAUUACUGGGCGUAAAGCGUGCGCCGGCGGUUUUGUAAGCCAGGUGUGAAAUCCCCGGGCUCAACCUGGGAAUGGCAUUUGGGACUGCAAGGCUGGAGUGCGGCAGAGGAGACUGGAAUUCCUGGUGUAGCAGUGAAAUGCGUAGAUAUCAGGAGGAACACCGAUGGCGAAGGCAGGUCUCUGGGCUGACACUGACGCUCAUGCACGAAAGCGUGGGGAGCAAACAGG
rnacentral:rRNA from 1 species